GGUGAAGGCAAUUCAGCUGUGUGAGCCGAAGGGGUGGAGCCUGGCUGCAUCUCUCUUAGACCUCAUUUAAGGGCUGAAUGGCACUGCAGAGGAUCUCUGGCUGGAGAUUCCUCCCUGUGGAGCUUUCUCGUGUGAACUUGGAAUCUUCUGAUAUGGGUUGUCAUUUUCAAGCUAGAAGAAAUGUAUCCAAGGAAUGACAUGCUGCACCUUUCAAUCCCAGACCUCUGCAGGUGGUACAAAACCAGUCCAGCAGCUGUGGGGCUCUGGUUCACAGCAUGGGUGACCUGCCACAGGGGAAGG